CCUACGGGAGGCAGCAGUAGGGAAUCUUCGGCAAUGGACGAAAGUCUGACCGAGCAACGCCGCGUGAGUGAAGAAGGUUUUCGGAUCGUAAAGCUCUGUUGGUAGAGAAGAACGUUGGUGAGAGUGGAAAGCUCAUCAAGUGUCGGUAACUACCCAGAGAGGGACGACUAACUACGUCCCAGCAGCCUCGGUAAUACGUAGGUCCCGAGCGGUGUCCGGAUUUAUUGGGCGUAAAGCGAGCGCAGGUGGUUUAUUAAGUCGGGGGUAAAAGGCAGUGGCUAAAACAAGGGAUGCAUUGGAAACGGGUAGACUGGAGUGCAGGAGAGGAAAGUGGAAUUCCAGGUGUAGGGGUGAAAGGCGUAGAGAUAUGGAGGAACACUGGUGGCGAAAGCGGCUCUCUGGCCUGUAACUGACACUGAGGCUCGAAAGCGUGGGGAGCAAACAGGAUUAGAUACCCGUGUAGUC
rnacentral:rRNA from 1 species